CUCCGAGCCGGCUGCCAACGGCUGCCCCCGCGCGCUGCGCCUCAGCCAAUGGAAGGCCGGCGGCGCUGCCGCUGACCGGUUGAGAGGCCGGGGGCGGGACUGGGCUGCGCGUCAGCCAAUGAGAGGCCGGGGAGGGGAAGGAGCUGCACCUGACCAAUGAGAGGCUGAAGGCAGGAUGGAACUGCGGCUCAUCCAAUGAGAGUCCGGGGCCGGGACGGAGCUGAGUCUGACCAAUGAGAGGAUGGGGGCGGGACGGAGCUGCAGCUCAGCCAAUGAGAGGCCGGCGGCGUGAUAGAGCUGCAUCUGACCAAUGAGAGGCUGGGGGCGGGACAGAGCGGCACCUGACCAAUGAGAGGCAGGAGGCGGGAUAGAGCGGCGGGAGGGGCUCGGAGUGCGCCCUAUUGCAAUAGGGGUUGGGAUUGGGAUUAGGGGUGUGGGAUUGGGAUUGGGGGUGUGGGAUUGGGGUUAGGACUGGGAUAUGAGAUUUGGGAUUGCGAUGGAUUGACGGAUGGUACAUGGGGCUGGGAUGUGGGAUUGGCAUUGGGAUUCGGGAUAGGGAUUGGGAAUACGGGAUAUGGGAUUGGCAUGUGGGAUUGGGAAUGAGGCGUGGAUUGGGAUUGGGAUUGGGGUUGGGAUGCAGGAAGUGGGUAUACAGGUACGGGACAGACUUGGCAAAGAUAUGGGAAUGAUAUGGGGUGGAGUUGGGACAGGAUAUGGAUAUGGGAUGGGAUUGGGAUGAUCAUAGGGAUGGGAUAGGUAUAUGGAAUGGAUAUGGGGUGGACACGGGAUGGAUGUGGGGAUAUGGAUUCAGGAAGGCUGUGGGAUGGAAAUGGAUAUGGGACAUGGGGUACAGGAUGGGGAUAGGAUAUGGGAUGUAGGGGUAUGGAUGUGGGAUGGCUUUAGGAUGGGAUAUGGGAUUGGAUAAGGGAUGGGACAUUGAUAUGGGAUGGAUAAGGAGAUGGGAUCGGUUUGGGAUGAGAUAUGGAUUUGAGAUGGAUUUGGGAUGGUUAUGGGAUAGAUAAGGUGAUAUGGAUAUAGAAAGAGAUUUGGCAUGAAGUUGGGAUGGGAUAUGGAUAGGGGAUGGAUUUGGAAUAUGGAUAUAGGAUGGAUUUGGGAUAUGGAUACGGGAUGGAUUUGGGAUAUGGAUAUGGGAUGGAUUUGGGAUAUGGGCGUGGGACAGAUAUCAUGUUUUGGAUAUUGGAAGGGUUAUGGAUACAGGAUGGGAUAUGGGAUGGGAUAUGGAUAUGGGAUGGCUACGAGAUGGGGCUGUAGUGGUUAUAGGGCCAUGGGGGCUAUGGGGCUGGGAUGCUGCAGUGUCCCCAAAGCACUCCCCGGUGUGACACACGGAGCCCCACAGCCGCUCCUCUGCCCUCUAUUCACGUGGGGGGGGGCAUCCCCAACCCCCCGUUAUCACAAAAUAAACCUUAAUCCCAAAAAUAAAGGGUGCCCCCCGCCCCACCCCAUGGGAACAGUGCAGUCUGCAAUGGGGGGCGCACAGAAUGGGUCCCCAGAGGGGGGUCCCCAACUUUGGGAUGUGACGCCAUGGUGGGGAACGUGGGGGCACUCCCACCUCUGGGACAGACCCCAACUUUGGGGUGUAACAUGUGGGGGUGUCCCCAACUUUGGGGUGUGACACUGUGGUGUGUCCCCAACUUUGGGGUGUGACACCAUCGGGGGGACACAGAGAUGCCCCAACUUUGAGGUGUGACACAGUGACGCGGUGUCCCCACUUCCCCUGGGAAGUCCUCAAGCUGCUCACAGUGUCCCCAACUUUGGCGCAAUGCCCCCAGGGGGGUCCUUUUGUCCCCUCAUAGGACAGUGGGAGGCUCAGUGACAGCACCCCCUGGACACCCCAAGACACUUCUGGGACAUCUUCAGACCCUUCCAGAAGACAACAGGACCCUCUGAACCCACCAAAGGACCCCCCAGACCCUCCAAGUCCUCUCUGGGCCAUCCCCAGACCCUUCUGGAUGGCUCCAGGACCCCCCAGACCCACACGAGCACCCCCUGGACACCCCAAGACACUCCUGGGACAUCUUCAGACCCUUCCAGAAGACAGCAGAACCCACCUAAGGACCCCCCGGACCCUCCAAGUCCUCUCUGGGACAUCUCCAGACCCUUCUGGAUGGCUCCAGGACCCCCCAGACCCACAUGAACACUCCCUGGACACUCCAAGACAGUCCUGGGACAUCCCCAGACCCUUCUGGAUGACUGCAAGGAUGCCCUGGACACACCUGGGGACCCCCUGCACCCUACAGGGACCUUCUUGGACAUCUCCAGACCCUUCUGGAUGAAUCCAUGGACCCCAUGGAUCAACAGGAGGACCCCCUGUACCCUCCAAGGCCUCUCUGGGACACCCCCAAACUUUCUGGAUGGCUCCAGGACACCCCAGAACCACAUGAGCACCCCUUGGACACCCCAAGACACUUAUGGGGCAUCUUUAGACCCUUCCAGAAGACAACAGGACCCUCUGAACCCACCAAAGGACCCCCCAGACCCUCCAAGUCCCCCCUGGGACAUCCCCAGACCUUCUGGAUGGCUCCAGGACCCCCCAGACCCACAUGAGCACCCUUUGGACACCCAGGACACUUCUGGGACAUCUUCAGACCCUUCCAGAAGACAACAGGACCCUCUGAACCCACCAAAGGACCCCCCAGACCCUCCAAGUCCCCUCUGGGACAUCCCCAGACCCUUCUGGAUGACCACUCAGACCCACACGAGGGCUCCCUGGACCCUCGCAGACUCUACUGGGACAUCUCCAGAUCAGCCCAGAGACUCCUCAGAGCUCCUGGGCCCAUCGUGGGAGCUGCCAGACCCUUCCAGGGGCCCACAGGACCAACCUGGGGACUCCCUGGAUCCUCCUUGGACAUCUCCAGACUCUUCUGGAUGAGUCCAGAACCCCCUGGAUGCCCCCAGACCUCUCUAGGACGUCUCCAGAUCCUUCUUCAUGAUUCUAAGUGGGGAAAAGGGGGGUUUUGGGGGGGGGUGAGAAAGGGGUUAGUGGGGCUUCUGUGGGGUGGAAAGGGAGUCAGGGGGUGGAGAGGGGGUUGUGUGGAAUCUGGGGGGGGGGGAAGGUGUGAGUGGGGCUUCUGUGGGGUGUAAAGGGCAUCAAGGGGCAGAAAGUGGAGGUUGGGGGGCCUUGGGGGGGAAGAGGAGAACGAGACUUCCGUGGGGGAAAAAGGGGGUCUCGGGGGUGGAGAGAGAGGUUGGAAGGGAAAACUGGGGGUCGUGGGGGGGCUUCUAUGGGACAUAAAGGGGGUCCCGUUGGGGGAUACUGGGGGUCAAAAUGGGGGAGCGGACUCCAGAAGUCAGGGAGGAGGGCAUGGGGGGUACAGGGGACUCUAGGGGUCAGCAAAUGGGGUCAGCAGGGGGGAGGGAGAAGGAAGAGGGAAGACGGGGGACCCUGGGGGGCAGACAGAGGGGAGUCAGAGGGGGGAGACGGAUGGAGGGGCCAACGUGGGGAGAGCUGUGGGGGGGGGCGGGAAAGGAGACAGAAGGGAUGAGAGCGGGGGAGCGAGGAGGGAUCGGGAGGGAGGGGGACAGACAGAGGACCCUGGGGGUCAGAAUGGGGACCGGGGGCGGGAGGAAGCGAGGGGAGGGGUGGGAGAGGACUCCCCGCCCCGGCGCCCCCCCCGGACACCCACUCGCAGAAGCUGAGGCGGCGCUCGGAGCCCCGGGGCCGCCCCGCC
rnacentral:lncRNA from 1 species